rnacentral:snRNA from 1 species
ACUCAUACCUUGCAGGGGAAAUACCAUGGUCAUGAAAGUGGUUUUCCCAGGGUGAGGCUCAUCCAUUGCACUUCGGGUGCGCUGAUCGUUGUGGUUUCCCCAAAUGUGGGGAACUCAACUGCAUAAUUUGUGGUAGUGGGGGAUUGCAUUUGUGCUUUCCCUGG